CAGGCGUAACUAGGGCUGGAGAAGUCUUAGCUUGUCGGGUGGAUGUUACAGGAGACUCAUCAGAUAUCAAAUUAGUAGCUGAAGACCUAUCAGGUCGUGUUGAUGUUACAGGACGCUCAUCAGAUUUCAUUUUUGAUGUCUGAUUGAGUAUCAUAGGCAUAACUGGAGCUGGAGACGUCCUAGCUUGUCGUGUUGAUGUUACAUCAGACUCAUCAGAUGUCAAAAUAGUAGAAGUCCUAUCAGGUUGUGUUGAUGUUACAGGAGGCUCAUUAGAUUCCAUAUUUGAUAUCUGAUCGACUAUCUCAGGCAUAACUGGAGCUGGUAAAGUCCUAGGUUGUCGUGUAGAUGUUACACAAGACACAUCAGAUGCCAAAUUAGUAGAAGAAGUCCUAUCAGGUCGUGUUGAUGUUACAGGAGGCUCAUCAGUUGCCAUAUAAGUGUCCCGACCGAGUACCACAGGCAUCACUCUGACUGGAGUACUCCUAGUUCGUCGUG
rnacentral:lncRNA from 1 species